rnacentral:lncRNA from 1 species
UAUAGCUUGUUUGUAUUUUUUUAAAGUAUUUUUUUCUUGGCACAGAAAAGCUUCAGAACUCAAGUACAAGAAGACUAUUCUAGAUGCCAAGCUUCCAAGAAAAUAAUUGAUCUUGCCCUAAAAUUCUGGAAGUUAAAUCACUGCUUAGAGAAAAUCAUUCAAAUCGUCAUUUCUGUCCUGACAGGAUGCUACAGCAAUGUGCAUCUCCUCAAGAAUUGUGUUGAAACGAUUUGCAGCUUGGUCAGUGUUGUUUGCAGUGACUUCAGUGAACCCUCCACUUCUGUUGACCGCUGUGAAAAUAAAAUAUCUCAAGUUGGCUACAGGGAACUAGAAGCUCUAGCUAAGUCACUCCUCUUAUGUUUUGAAUCUGAAGAAAGACCUGAUUUAUUGAAACCCUGGGAAUGUAACAAUCAAAAUGCCAGAGGACAAGAAAAAGAAGAAGGAUCUAACUCAAGUUGGCCUAACUUCGGUAGAAAUAAAGGUGUGCUGAAGCGUGUCUGUGAACUGCGUAAGGCGUCCUCAGCAGUGGGCUCCGAGGUAUGCACACCCAGUAGGAUUCAGUGGGUGUGACUGGCAGGACUAUCCACUUGGUGACCAUCCAUGAAAGAAAGAACAGUUAGUAGGUAGUUUUCUUCAUGCAGGAGAACAUAGAAAGAAAUCAGUGUGAUUAUUUCAUUGAAGUCCAUGUGUUUUGGUGGCCGGCUUUACAUUGGCUAUGAACAGCACCAGCAUUGCCGAAUCCUGGUUUCAGAAUUUCUGAAUGUGCACUCAGAAAUUCCUCAGCAGACAGUUUUAAACAGGGAAUUUACCAUAUAAAGAUAUUGAGGCAACAGAAUGAAAUCUAGGAUUCAGGACCAAGUGAAUGGUCAUGUCUCCAGUGUCUCAUUGUCUUGAAUUUUAAAUGUUUGUCUUUAACACUGACAUGCUCUCUCUAGCUGGUUAGUCAGUCUGUUUGCAGAUUAGUCUUUUUCUUAUGAACAGAAACCUGAGUAGUCAGUUACCUUUGUUCCUGUGCCUUCUCUGCAAAUAGGUUGGUUAGGGGUUAAAAUAAAAUUGCCAAUGCAAGUUCAAAUAAUACAGCUUUCUUGGCAUUGUUAAUUCUAAAACUUUUUCUGAAGGCUUAAGUGCUUUCAUUUUCAGUCAUAUAUUGAAGGCACAAUUUUCUGUUUUUUCCAAAUUAUAUGUAACUAUCUAAAUGUAGUAUAAUCAUGUAUUAGUACUAUGGCUGGCUGGCAUAAUAGUUGACUAUGUUAUGUAUGUUUCAUAAUAGGUAUGUAUGAGUAUAAUUUAAAAGUAAUUAAAUGUUGCCACAAUCAUACCUGAGAGAGAUGAGAAACCAGCC